GAGGAAGGAGGGAGGCGUGCUUAACACAUGCAAGUCGAACGGAACUACUCCAAUGAGAGUCUUCGGAAAGGAUUUGGUUUAGUUUAGUGGCGGACGGGUGAGUAACGCGUGGGUAACCUGCCCUAUACAGGGGGAUAACAGUUGGAAACGACUGUUAAUACCGCAUAAGCGCACAGGAGCGCAUGCUCCGGUGUGAAAAACUCCGGUGGUAUAGGAUGGACCCGCGUCUGAUUAGCUGGUUGGCGGGGUAACGGCCCACCAAGGCGACGAUCAGUAGCCGGCCUGAGAGGGUGAACGGCCACAUUGGGACUGAGACACGGCCCAAACUCCUACGGGAAGCAGCAGUGGGGAAUAUUGCACAAUGGGGGAAACCCUGAUGCAGCGACGCCGCGUGAGCGAAGAAGUAUCUCGGUAUGUAAAGCUCUAUCAGCAGGGAAGAAAAUGACGGUACCUGACUAAGAAGCCCCGGCUAACUACGUG
rnacentral:rRNA from 1 species